rnacentral:rRNA from 1 species
CCUACGGGAGGCAGCAGUGAGGAAUAUUGGACAAUGGGCGCAAGCCUGAUCCAGCCAUGCCGCGUGCAGGAAGAAGCAUCUAUGGUGUGUAAACUGCUUUUGUACGGGAAGAAACACCUCUACGUGUAGAGGCUUGACGGUACCGUAAGAAUAAGGAUCGGCUAACUCCGUGCCAGCAGCCGCGGUAAUACGGAGGAUCCAAGCGUUAUCCGGAAUCAUUGGGUUUAAAGGGUCCGUAGGCGGUUUAGUAAGUCAGUGGUGAAAGCCCAUCGCUCAACGAUGGAACGGCCAUUGAUACUGUUAGACUUGAAUUAUUAGGAAGUAACUAGAAUAUGUAGUGUAGCGGUGAAAUGCUUAGAUAUUACAUGGAAUACCAAUUGCGAAGGCAGGUUACUACUAAUGGAUUGACGCUGAUGGACGAAAGCGUGGGGAGCGAACAGGAUUAGAUACCCUGGUAGUCCACGCCGUAAACGNUGGAUACUAGCUGUUCGGAGNAUCUNGUGUGUAGAGAAGUAGAUAAGUAUACCACCGUCGGUAGGUACGUUCGUCGAGAAGUAGAACGUACGAAGAAGUUAGUACGGCGUGAGACGUAGACGACGACGACGACGAGGGAGGAGG